AGAAUCAACGCUGGCGGCGUGCCUCAGACAUGCAAGUCGAACGCGAAAGUCCCCUUCGGGGACAAGUAGAGUGGCGCACGGGUGAGUAACACGUAGGUAAUCUACCUUCGGAUGGGGAAUAACAACCGGAACGUUGCUAAUACCGCAUAAUGCAGCGGCACCUAAUGGUGACAGUUGUUAAAGCGGGGGAUCGAAAGACCUCGCGUCUGAAGACGGAGCUGCGGCGGAUUAGCUAGUUGGUAGGGUAACGGCCUACCAAGGCGACGAUCCGUAGCCGGCCUGAGACGGGCGUUCGGCACGACCUGACUAGUUCGACAUACGGGUCAACGGACUACCCGUUACGGGAGGGCAAGGCGAGUCCGGGAAUUUUGGGACAAAUUGGGCGAAAGGCCUGGACCCCAAGGGCCAAACGCCGGCCGUGAACGGA
rnacentral:rRNA from 1 species